UACGGGGGGGGCAAGCGUUGUUCGGAAUUACUGGGCGUAAAGAGCGCGCAGGCGGUCAGAUAAGUCGAAUGUGAAAGCCCCCGGCUCAACUGGGGAGGGUCAUUCGAUACUGUUCGACUCGAAGGCAGGAGAGGGAAGUGGAAUUCCCGGUGUAGUGGUGAAAUGCGUAGAUAUCGGGAGGAACACCAGUGGCGAAGGCGACUUCCUGGCCUGUUCUUGACGCUGAGGCGCGAAAGCUAGGGGAGCAAACGGG
rnacentral:rRNA from 1 species